CUUCAAAAUGGAAUAUGAAGAUAAUAUCUUAUAGAAACGUUGGAGUACUAGGAUAAUCGUUUGGACUUGAUGCCUGACGAACCAUUCCAAAAAAUUGCUGAAAUAAAAAAAACAAAUGUGGAGCAUCUGAAAAAUAAUAGAUUCUACGUUUCCUAUUCAUUGGGUGUAUAAUACUAUUUUUAAGAUUAUCUUUUGUUCCAUUUAUACCAAAUUCUUUCCACAAUUUUCUAUUGGAAGAACCAGCAUCAGAAACAAUACCAUCUAUCAUAACACCAGCAUUUUCAAGCAAUGAUACUGCCUUUAUAACUAAUUGUUUACCAUUCACUGGUCCUUUUGAACAAAAUACUGCAAUAGGCUGUGUAAUGUUUGACCCAAGACUUUGAAACAUCAUUAUCAAACAACAAGCCCGUGAUCUGCUUUUUCACCUGUGUUCAAAGAAGGGUCAUCAUUACCAAAAUUGUCUAAUCCAGAAUAAGUUAGGGUCUUUGAGUUGACACUAAUACUCUGAAUUGUCAUCAAAACCACAGUUUGUUUUCGUCAUUGAUAAAUAUCUUCGAAUAGUCCGAGAUGACGGUAAUGGCAAUAUACCCUGGUUUCUUAAAAAAUUGUAAGUUGAAGA